AUGUGUCUUGACUGAAUCUCUAUCUGAUUGAGCCAUGGAGAAACACUCUAUCGAAAACCCUUUUAAAUGCCUUUUCCUGACCUGCUGUAGCUUAGCAAUAGAAUCUUACACGUGGUUACAUCAUAGGUAGAGGUCAUAAGUAGGUAACGCAUCGCAUCCGAGACAAGGCAAGUAUUUCCUGGCGCAUUUAGGAGCGCCUCCCGUUACCCAAGGUGACUGCUCUAGGUCCCUGAGCUAAUAACACGCUCAGCUGCUUUGGCUGUUCAGCUGGGCUCCAUCUCGCCAUACGGCAGUGUGACUCUGUUCUCCUGAUGAACGGAAAGACUCAUCUACAAAACCGCUACGGAGAGACCCCAGAAGCAUUUAACCCCAGGAGUUUUCAAAGUAAACGACUGGCCUAGAAAUGUUCAAAUUGAUUAGUGUGCUGCUCAGAGGGUCUGACGGUUCACUUUGUGUGUAGUGACCUUCAGUGCUGAUUGGCCAAGAUGGCACAGAGUGCCUUUGCUCAAGACAGAGAAGCAUCUAGAGAAGCAGUGCUGUUUUCUAACUUGGACCAAACACAAGGCCAAAUCAAGUAGUUGGACUGUGGUUCUGCAGGCGUACGCUUGUAAGCGGGCCAGUAUUGUUCUAAAGGCCAUGCUCUGUGAUACCAGAUACCGGAUGAGGUGCUGGAAUGCCGCUGGCUGCCCGUCUCCCUGAGCAACAUGUACACAGAACAAAGUGAGAAAUUAUGUCUCUGAAAUGGAUUGGUUUACUUGAUCUCUUGCUAGGAAUCUUAUUGAAGUCUCUAACUGUGUGUAUGUGUGUGUGUGUGUGUGUAGAAUGUGUUCUGGCUUUGUCUGGGCUGGUGUUGUGCAUUCCUGAUUCCUGGUGUUGUCUUCAGCAUUCUCGCGGCCAGGCUGUGGCAGCCAAAGAGCCCAGCUGUCAGCAAGGAGCUGUUUGGAAUGCCGGAUGACAUCAUUGAUAAAGCCAAAUCGAACAGCUACAUGAGCAGGGAUGAUGGUUCAGGCAGAAGGUAAGGUGUUGUCAUGUCACACAUUAUUCAUGUCAUGGGUGUUAUGUAGAAUAGGCCCAUUGCACAUCCUCUACAGUUUCAAACACACAGCUGUGUGAAACGGCUGGAACAUGCAACAAUGACCAUCUGGGUUCCCCCUUUGGACCAGUUUUAACAGCAAAAUGAGGACCUCGCAUAUAUGUAAAUUCAGCACUGCCAUGUGGUCUACAGCGAACGUGCUCAUGGACUCAGUACUGCCCCAAGAGCGUCCUUUUAAAACCAAAAUCGUUCACUCAGUCCAAAAGCACAAAAAUCUUAAAUCUUUGACUCUGGACACAUUUUAAGCAGAAACGUAGCAGGGCUUAAGUUUGCGCGUAGCUUGAGCAUUAGCGCUACAUGUAUUUUUUUUUGUGCUUGUGAUUGACGAGCAGAACGGACACUAUGAAGAUUAAUGCCAACAUGUACAUAACCCUGGAUGAAGUGACCAGCAGUAACGAAGACAAAGAAUGGAAAAAAGAGAAACGAAAGUGGGAAGCAGCACGUGAAGGGAGAGUCACCCGCCCCCAUGCAACACGCUGACAUGUAAAGACCCUGGAGGACAGGGGCAUUGCUUACAAAAGAUCACCGUCCCCUGCCCUGCGGGAGGCUUUAAUGGAUAGGUAUUUUUUUCUUUAUUUUUUACAUCUUAUCCAGUGUACAAUUACUAUGGGCCUGUUAAUGUGUGGUUUCUCUCUAUUUCCAGUCAGAGUUGAAAGUAUAUGCUUUCAGGCUCAAUCUCCGCUUACCGAGAUUUAUGUUUUAACGGUACUAACGCUAUAAAAAAAAUAAAAUACACACACACACAGACACACAAAAGUGAGGCUGUAGUAUAUGCGUGAAUCUCUAGGUGGCAGCAGCGAUCCAGUUUCGGUUUGGCCUGUCUUAUUAUUUUGCUGUAGUGCAGGGACAGGCGGUCUCAAUCGCUUAGCGGUUCUCUUGCCGUCACGCCCCUAAUUAUCCGAAACCCUGGCAGCGGGUAAUGGGGGAAGAACACACGGAGCUGUGCAGGACUCCGGUCCCGUACAGGGCUGGUGAACUUGUCCAGCUGGUGAACAGCCAUGUUUGUGUGCAGAAAGAGCAGGUGUCAAGAGCGUGUGUUAGACUGCACUCUGAGUGCCUUAUUGGUGAGUCCCAUAAAGACAAUGGAGGGGGGAAAAAAACAAACCGUAUCCUUUAGCUUUUUCAGCGGACAUCAAAACGUCACUGCUACACACACAAAAAAUGCGGCUGAUCUAUUCCAAGCUGUGCUAUUAUAUGUAGGCUGAAAGAGACUUUUCAAAAGAAGGGGAGACGGGGGACGGAGGGAGAGAGAGAGAGACAGAUCCAGCUCUGCUAUGACGAGUUCCCUGCGUGACUUUCGGCGGGUCAGACCGGCCGCACACGAACAGGCGCGGACGUUCAUUGGUGGCCAACAUCACUGUACCCAGGAGGUGCCGUGUUGCACUGCUAAACACAGCCAACCGAUACGCGUUGUUAAAGAGUCUACCCAACGAUUUCUAUAACAAAACUUUUACAAUCAUUUCAUAAUCGAUACAAACAUAUUUUCUUAGCUAAUAAAUGAAGUUGGCAAUGGAAUGAAAACAGGACACAGCAACUCUCUGCAAACAGUAAAAAAUAAAUAAAUUGAUUUGACAAAAACACAUUAACUAGAAAGUGUUCCCAUUCCAAACUGACGAGGAAAACAAAACCCCCAAAGUUUAAUGCAGAUUCCUUACACCAAUGGCUGUUCCCAGAGUUAAUUAACUAGAACGAAAGUUCAGUGGUGACGAAUCUCCAGAACAGCGUUAUUCCUGAGUUUAUGCUACACUACGUGCGCUGAACCGUGAUGCUGCAAUUUCCUAUUAAAAGUCCUCUUGCGCUAUAUAUCACUAAAGGAACAAACAGCUAAUAAUGCUUAAUGCUUUGUUUGCAAUAGCACAUUAACCAUUUAUUUUGUUCACGAUAGAAGAAAAAAAAGCAACUUUGUUUCUUUGGCAUAUAAAAGUAUUCUACGCUACAGGACUCAUAGCGCGUUUGAAAAAUAAAGGCUUCGAUAUUGUCAUUUUCAAAUUUGUGUUAUGGACGAACACAUUCAGUGCACCAUAAAUAACACAUCGCAAACAUCGAUUUAGCCCUCAGGAUCACAUGAGCCGUAUCCAUUUCCCACUGAAAUGAAACCAGGGAACUUGCUCAGAGAUGAAACAUUGUUGUGGCUA